CCAUCCAGCGAGCCGCGGCGGCGGUACCGAGCGGUUAUAAGUGUCAUUCAGACACCAGUCUUCUGAGAUGGGAAAGACCAAUGAUGAAAAGACCAGUGAUGUUUCUUCACUCCUUUCAGAAGAUAUUAACUGCAAGGUCUUUCCUGUCUUGCAAGAGUUUGGGCGUUGCAGAGAACAACAGGUGAAGGCGUGAAGUGCAACACUGAGAAAACAUGCACAUGCACAUAGGAUAAUCUCAGUGUCCCAGUUGUGCACUUGCAUGGCUAGGUAAAACAGAACAAAACAAGACAGCAACCUGAAGGGGACAGAGUGAGUGACUGGCUAGGUCCUAGCUGCCUGCUGGGGCCACCCUCCAAAGCCACUUCUGGGACUGGAGAAGUAAGAUGUGAUGCCUUGGCAGUUGUUGAAUUUUUGAAACAGAGAACAGUCCUCCCAGUUUUCCUGUUUCACUGAUCUCAGAUUACACAUGCAUUACCUGUGAUCCUUGGAAAUGUAACAAGGUGCUAAAAUAAAUUAG
rnacentral:lncRNA from 7 species